UAUGGCUCAGGAUGAACGCUAGCUACAGGCUUAACACAUGCAAGUCGAGCGGAACUGCUUCGGCAGUUUAGCGGCAGACGGGUGAGUAACACGUAUCCAACCUUCCCCUUACUCGGGUAUAGCCUCGGGAAACUGAGAGUAAUCCCCGAUGUGGUGUACGCUUCGCAUGUAAUGCACACCAAAGAUUAAUCGGUAAGGGAUGGGGAUGCGUUCCAUUAGCUAGUAGGCGGGUAACGGCCCACCUAGGCGAUGAUGGAUAGGGGUUCUGAGAGGAAGGUCCCCCACAUUGGAACUGCGACACGGUCCAAACUCCUACGGGAGGCAGCAGUGAGGAAUAUUGGUCAAUGGCCGAGAGGCUGAACCAGCCAAGUAGCGUGCCAGGAUGACGGCCCUACGGGUUGUAAACUGCUUUUGUGCGGGAAUAACGGUCGACACGUGUGUUGAUGUGCAUGUACCGUACGAAUAAGGAUCGGCUAACUCCGUGCCAGCCGCCGC
rnacentral:rRNA from 1 species